CAGCCGCCACGGUAAUACGGAGGGUGCAAGCGUUAAUCGGAAUUACUGGGCGUAAAGCGCACGCAGGCGGUUUGUUAAGUCAGAUGUGAAAUCCCCGAGCUUAACUUGGGAACUGCAUUUGAAACUGGCAAGCUAGAGUCUUGCAGAGGGGGGUAGAAUUCCAGGUGUAGCGGUGAAAUGCGUAGAGAUCUGGAGGAGUACCGGUGGCGAAGGCGGCCCCCUGGACAAAGACUGACGCUCAGGUGCGAAAGCGUGGGGAGCAAACAGGAUUAGAUACCCCAGUAGUCCCUGUCUCUAUACA
rnacentral:rRNA from 1 species